GAUGAACGCUGGCGGCGUGCUUAACACAUGCAAGUCGAACGGGAUCCAUCAGGCUUUGCUUGGUGGUGAGAGUGGCGAACGGGUGAGUAAUGCGUGACCGACCUGCCCCAUACACCGGAAUAGCUCCUGGAAACGGGUGGUAAUGCCGGAUGCUCCGACUCCUCGCAUGGGGUGUCGGGAAAGAUUUCAUCGGUAUGGGAUGGGGUCGCGUCCUAUCAGGUAGUCGGCGGGGUAACGGCCCACCGAGCCUACGACGGGUAGCCGGCCUGAGAGGGCGACUGGCCACAUUGGGACUGAGAUACGGCCCAGACUCCUACGGGAGGCAGCAGUGGGGAAUAUUGCACAAUGGGCGCAAGCCUGAUGCAGCGACGCCGCGUGCGGGAUGACGGCCUUCGGGUUGUAAACCGCUUUUGAUCGGGAGCAAGCCUUCGGGUGAGU
rnacentral:rRNA from 1 species